UCUUCCCGGGGAUUGGCUGUCCCUCCGGCGGUGCCCCGCCCCCGCCCCCGCCCAGGAUUUUCCGGGGAUUUGAAAUGCGCUUCUCAGCCCUAAAGCGUUCCUCCAUGCGGGUUUCCGCCAUGCGCUUGCCUUCUGGUCUGCUGGCCAGGCGGGGGUCGGCCACUUUGUCCCGCCGAGCUAUUGCGUGGUGACCAAAUAUAUCUCAAAGUUUUUAGAAGAAACCACCUAUACAGCCAUCAAAAUAAAAUUCCUGAAUUCAUACAAGCCACAGCAAGCUAGAUCAGGAUCAUCAUAUGACAACUGGAAGUCCAUGCCUACGGGUUAUCUCAAAUUGAGGACUUUCAGCACCUACUCACAGGCUCCAUGAGCAGAUGAAGUAGACAGCUUUACACAGUAUCUCAGACCAAGACCUUCAUCUCCAUCUCCAGCUAGCUGAAACAUCUCCCCUUCUCGACCUGGAAAAUUCUCUGACUUAGAAAUUUAAACAAAACUCUCCCCUUUCAUUUAAUCUCCGUCGUCUGGAGUUUGUUUGUCUUGCCCUGACCUCU
rnacentral:lncRNA from 13 species